GUCGGUUUAUUCUCACCCCGGUAAGGCGAGUGGGAAAUUCGGUGGUAUUCUCCAUCUACCGCGGGGAAGUCYUUUAUGGGMCCCYCGCUGGCAAGGUUGCUCUUGAGAGCYUUCCASGGCGUGAAAACGCUGGGCUGCUGUCAUCAGAAAUUCAGCCUACGGGUCCCKUCUGGGGUUUGUAGGCAUGGGAGCGCAGUGCAGGUGGUUGACGAGGUGUUCAUUCARUGUCUCGUUGUUGAGUUCAAUACGCGAAUUCUAGGCUUYCAGCUUAGAACACUCGAUACCGAUCAUUAAUAGUGAU
rnacentral:RNase_P_RNA from 2 species